GGCUCAAUGGUCUAGUGGUAUGAUUCGCGCUUCGGGUGGUCUUAAAAGCCCAGUCUGGUAAACAGACGAAGAAUGUGCGAGGUCUCGGGUUCGAUCCCCGAUUGAGCCC